rnacentral:rRNA from 1 species
GACGAACGCUGGCGGCGUGCUUAACACAUGCAAGUCGAGCGGUAAGGCCUUUCGGGGUACACGAGCGGCGAACGGGUGAGUAACACGUGGGUGAUCUGCCCUGCACUUCGGGAUAAGCCUGGGAAACUGGGUCUAAUACCGGAUAUGACCUCCUAUCGCAUGGUGGGUGGUGGAAAGAUUUAUCGGUGCAGGAUGGGCCCGCGGCCUAUCAGCUUGUUGGUGGGGUAAUGGCCUACCAAGGCGACGACGGGUAGCCGACCUGAGAGGGUGACCGGCCACACUGGGACUGAGACACGGCCCAGACUCCUACGGGAGGCAGCAGUGGGGAAUAUUGCACAAUGGGCGAAAGCCUGAUGCAGCGACGCCGCGUGAGGGAUGACGGCCUUCGGGUUGUAAACCUCUCUCAGCAGGGACGAAGCGCAAGUGACGGUACCUGCAGAAGAAGCACCGGCUAACUACGUG